AGAGAUGUGCCUGAAUUUCUAAGGACCACUUUGAUAGAGUGAUACACGGAGGUUAAAAUCCUCCCAUCUCUU
rnacentral:tRNA from 1 species